UACGUAGGGGCGAGCGUUGUCCGGAGUUACUGGCGUAAAGCGCACGCAGGCGGUCUGUUAAGUUUGGAGUGACAGUUGGUGGCUUAACUGCCAAAGUGCUUCGAAACUGACAGACUUGAGGGCUUCAGAGGGACACGGAAUUCCGGGUGGAGUGGUGAAAUGCGUAGAGAUCCGGAGGAACACCAAAGGCGAAGGCAGUGUCCUGGGGAGUACCUGACGCUCAGGUGCGAAAGCCAGGGGAGCGAACAGG
rnacentral:rRNA from 1 species